CAGUCAGGAAGGGGCAGCAAGAUGGUGUCACAGACCCAGGUCCUCAUGUCCCUGUUGCUCUGGGUCUCUGGUGCCUGUGGGGACAUUGUGAUGACCCAGUCUCCAGGCUUCCUGGCUGUGUCAUCAGGAGAAACGGUCACCAUCAACUGCAAGUCCAGUCAGAAUAUUUACAAUGGUAUAGCCUGGUACCAGCAGAAACCAGGUCAGGCUCCUAAACUGCUUAUCUACGCAGCCUCUAGCAGGCCAUCUGAAGUCCCUGACCGCUUCACUGGCAGUGGGUCUGGGAUAGAUUUCACUCUCACCAUCGGCAACCUCCAGGCUGAAGAUGUGGCAGAUUACUACUGUCAGCAGGGUUAUAACUGUCCUCCCACAGUGCUUCAGCCUGAAUCAAAAACGCCUCCCAAGGUUAUGGGGUGGACCCUGGAAGGGUCACUGGAUGAAACUCUGGUUAAUGAAGUUUAUGGGGUAGUUGUAAGAAGACCUGGGCACGCAGAUCAAUUUCCUGUAUUGAAUGCUGGCGGGAUGCUGUCCUCAGAUGGCCCACAUGUCUAA